rnacentral:rRNA from 1 species
UACGGAGGAUCCGAGCGUUAUCCGGAUUUAUUGGGUUUAAAGGGUGCGCAGGCGGGAGAUUAAGUCGGCGGUGAAAUUUUGCAGCUUAACUGUAAAAGUGCCUUCGAUACUGGCUUCCUUGAGUGUGGAUGAAGUAGGCGGAAUUUGUGGUGUAGCGGUGAAAUGCAUAGAUAUCACGAGGAACUCCGAUUGCGCAGGCAGCUUACUAGGCCAUAACUGACGCUCAGGCACGAAGGCGUGGGGAUCAAACAGGAUUAGAUACCCCU